rnacentral:rRNA from 1 species
GACGAACCGUGCGAACGUUGUUCGGAAUAACUGGGCUUAAAGGGAGCGUAGGCGGGCUAACAAGUCUGGGGUGAAAUCCCGCGGCUCAACCGUGGAACUGCCUUAGAUACUGUCGGCCUCGAGGGAGAUAGGGGCAUGCGGAACUAACGGUGGAGCGGUGAAAUGCGUUGAUAUCGUUAGGAACUCCGGUGGCGAAAGCGGCGUGCUGGAUCUCUUCUGACGCUGAGGCUCGAAAGCUAGGGGAGCAAACAGG